GGAGGCGUAACUCAGAUGGUUAGAGUUCCUGCUUUGCACAUAGGAUGUCGGGAGUUCAAUUCUCCUCGCCUCCA
rnacentral:tRNA from 1 species